GAAGAUGCAGAUUCAAUUCUUGAAACGCACGUUUGAUGGAAUAUCCAGGACUUGAAGAUGCAGAUUCAAUUCUUGAAACCCUCCUCUUAUAUAAUGUGAGUAUUAACUGGACUUCAUUUGCCAAUGCUUUCUUUGAUGAAGAUAAUUUCUGAAUUGUUAGUUCUGCUGCAGAUUCAAUGUCCCUAUUAACUAACAUCUUUCAGCAGUUUGGAGAAAUCAUAUUUCUAUUUCAUCAAUUGAUUUAAAUUAAAAGAUGAUCAAGGCAGCUAUAAAAUAUCAUUUGCAAUGCUGUAGACAUACCUUCAUCAGGUUUCAUAUUUAUCACAAUGAAAGAUGUUAGUUCUGCUGCAACAAUGCUCAAUUCAAUUUGGUUGGACCCCUUGAUGCGGCCGUUAUGUAGCAUCAUAUUACUCCUGUUUCUGAAGCUAUACUGAAUCAAUGGAUGGAUGGUCCAGUUCAGGAAGCAUGCCAAACUGUUGCUUCACUAGACAUCAUGCAGGGUUGUCAUAGCUACCUGUUUUGUAGACCGUUCUGCUCUUGAAGGCGCAAAUAAAUGCAUCAACUGGUGGAGUCUGCCUGAACUUUUACAUAUCAUGGAAGUCCUGAAAACUUGCUCAUGCAUGCAUCUUAUGGAUGUGUUCUCUUUGAGGUUACUGAAUACAAGGGUGAUACUCCCAACACAAAUAUGAAAUAUGGUUGCCCCAGUACUUGGUUGGAUUCCAAGUGAAUAGAUGUAUGAUUUUACUCAUUUCUAUUCUUAUUUUACAAAUGAAUUGAUUUUUGAUCGGUCGGAAGAGGAACUAUUUAAAAUAAAUAGAUUCAGAAGUCAAUGGUCCAAAAAUAGAGAGACAGCAUCACUUGAAGGCUUUCCUUGGUUGUUUAGUUUAGUAACUCUUGAUGCUUAUAUGACUUCCAUGAAACAUUGUCUGUCACAAGUGCUGGUAGAAAAUCUUUUGAUUAGAUCAUAUGCGUGUAAUAAAUACCUGAAGAUUGCUUAGUUGUUUUUUUUUUUUUUCAGGAUUGUACUCUUUCAUUUUUUUUUUUAUAAUAAUUAUUGAAAGUAUAGAAGGAGAUUCUGUGAUGAGAAACCAAAUGCAAUGUUGAAGGUAAAGUGUAGCUAAGACGAGUCUCUACUCUCUACUGGAAGCAUAGGAGAUAGAAACGCUGCACCGUGCAGAGCGAGCACUGUUCAGAAGCUGCAGCGCACCCUUAGUGUGACGUGAAGCGUGCGAGUUGGAGGGAUGAAUAUUGAAAGGGAGACGCAGGAGAUAAAAAUCGCCUCCACAACAUUGAAAAAGCAGUGGAGGUGGACUACCAUUGGGCCAAGUUCGCUGACGUCCGGUACCACGUUCAGGUGACGAUGAAAAACCCACACAUUGUGCUGCUUUCGGUUUCACUGCCGGCCCCACCUCCGGAAAUUGUGUUCUUGAGUGGGCUUCCUGCUGGGGCUAUAGAGUCUAUAAUGGAUCAGUAGUGCAGAUUCUUGACCCACAUAGAGAUGGGUUUAAUCUUACAUUGAAGCUCAAUAUCUCUAAACUUCCUACAGAUGAAGGUUCAACGAGUUCCUUUUCUAAGAGUACAAACAUGCUCUUUUGGUAAAGAUUGCAUCUGUAAGGGAAGUGGUGCUAGGAGCUCCAUUGAGAGUAAUUCUGAAGCAGCCUGCUUUGAGGACUUUUGCUUCUGAUGUUGAUCCACUUGUUGCUCUUGUGCAUCGGCCAAAGGAAUCCUUUUUCCUUAUUCCUCAGGAGGAACUAAAAUCUGUUGAACGCCUCCAACCUGCUUCCCGAUGCUGCAAAGAGUAUAAAUCGAAAGAAACGAUGAUCCUGUCGCUUUUGGAAAUGGCUCUGUGGAAUGCCCUGUUUUAGCUUGUCAUUGAUUUGAUGUUGCUGCUGUUGUGAUGGGUGCUCUCUUACCUAGAAAUGCCACGCUGCUCCUGCUGCGGUUCAUGCAACAGUUCAAGCUGUGGUUCAUACAAAGGUUCAUGCUGCGGUCCAUGUAACUGUAAUUCGUGUUUCAGUUGCCCUUCACUACCAAAGUGGCGAUGUUGCUGCUCAUGUCCCCGAUCCCGUUACUGCAAAACUAGUUCAUGUUCAUGCAGCAGAAAUUGCUGCAUUUUACCAUCAUGUUCGUGCUCAUGUCCCAAUUGCUCUUGUUUGAAUUGUUUCAAAUGGAAAUGCUCGUCCUAAAUAUCCUUGUUCAAUGUCCUUGUUGCUGUUGUAAAAUAACCUGCUGCAACCCUUGCAGUACAUGUUUGUAGUAUUCAUGACAUCUCUUAUGGAAGCUCUGUAUCGUGGCUUUUUCAUAUUUAACUAUUCUAGAUAUGCUGCAAAUAUUCAGGUAUUCAUACAAUUGAGUUUAUGAAAUAAAUUUUUUAGUA